rnacentral:rRNA from 1 species
UACGUAGGGGGCAAGCGUUGUCCGGAAUUAUUGGGCGUAAAGAGCGUGUAGGCGGUCCGGUAAGUCAGCUGUGAAAGUCAAGGGCUCAACCCUUGAAUGCCGGUGGAUACUGUCGGGCUAGAGUCCGGAAGGGGCGAGUGGAAUUCCUGGUGUAGCGGUGAAAUGCGCAGAUAUCGGGAGGAACACCGGUGGCGAAGGCGGCGACCUGGGUCGACACUGACGCUGAGGCGCGAAAGCGUGGGGAGCAAACAGG